AGAGUUUGAUCCUGGCUCAGAACGAACGCUAGCGGCGUGCCUAACACAUGCAAGUCGCACGAGAAAUCCCGGGCAACUGGGAGAGUAAAGUGGCGCACGGGUGAGUAGCGCGUGGGUAAUCUACCCUGAAGUUGGGAAUAACACCUCGAAAGGGGUGCUAAUACCGAAUGAUAUCCCCGGGAUUCCGGUCUUGGGGAUCAAAGAUGGCUGAGGCUUGCAAGCUAUUGCUUUAGGAUGAGCCCGCGUACCAUUAGCUAGUUGGUGGGGUAACGGCCCACCAAGGCCAUGAUGGUUAGCUGGUCUGAGAGGAUGGCCAGCCACACUGGAACUGAGAUACGGUCCAGACUCCUACGGGAGGCAGCAGUGAGGAAUCUUGCGCAAUGGGGGAAACCCUGACGCAGCAACGCCGCGUGAGUGAUGAAGGCCUUCGGGUCGUAAAGCUCUGUCAGAUGGGAAGAAAGUUUCGGCGGUGAACAAUCGCCGGGAUUGACGGUACCGUCAGAGGAAGCACCGGCUAACUCCGUGCCAGCAGCCGCGGUAAUACGGAGGGUGCAAGCGUUGUUCGGAAUCAUUGGGCGUAAAGAGCGUGUAGGCGGUCGGGUAAGUCAGAUGUGAAAUCCCUUGGCUUAACCAAGGAAGUGCAUUUGAAACUGCCCGGCUUGAGUACGGGAGGGGGAAGUGGAAUUCCCGGUGUAGAGGUGAAAUUCGUAGAUAUCGGGAGGAACACCGGUGGCGAAGGCGGCUUCCUGGACCGAUACUGACGCUGAGACGCGAAAGCGUGGGGAGCAAACAGGAUUAGA
rnacentral:rRNA from 1 species